GUGGGAUAUUAUAAAAAUUCAACAGUGUUUACACUAUGGAGAAUAUGUUAAAUAGUGCAAUCAUGUGGAACAUUUUUGUCCAGGGUGGUGAGUGUGGUUAUUGGGAGUUUGAGGGCCUUCUCUCAUUACAACAGGGGACGAAUCUGGCUACUGUGAUUUCUCCCAACAGGGAGCUCCAGGAAGCCCGCUCAGCAGCACUGUCCACACAGCAGAUGCUUCCUGCAGGCCUGCAGGGAUCGACCAACAAAGGGUCUCUACUGACAGCGGGGAUGAGGCUGAUUGUUUUCCUGGGAUGCAGUGGCCCACGACCUACCUCAAGCAGAAGGGGAGUCCACUCCAAUAAAUGGAUUUUCCACAUCAUUGUGCACG
rnacentral:lncRNA from 1 species